UACGUAGGGAGCAAGCGUUGUCCGGAAUUACUGGGCGUAAAGGGCGCGUAGGCGGCCCGCUAAGUCGAACGUGAAAUCCCCAGGCUCAACCUGGGAACUGCGUCCGAUACUGGCAGGCUUGAAUCCGGGAGAGGGAUGUGGAAUUCCAGGUGUAGCGGUGAAAUGCGUAGAUAUCUGGAGGAACACCGGUGGCGAAGGCGGCAUCCUGGACCGGUAUUGACGCUGAGGCGCGAAAGCUAGGGGAGCAAACGGG
rnacentral:rRNA from 1 species